rnacentral:rRNA from 1 species
CUGGGAGGACCAUCUCCUAAGGCUAAAUACUCUCUAGUGACCGAUAGUGAACCAGUACCGUGAGGGAAAGGUGAAAAGCACCCCGGAAGGGGAGUGAAAUAGAACCUGAAACCGUGUGCUUACAAGUAGUCAGAGCCCGUUAAUGGGUGAUGGCGUGCCUUUUGUAGAAUGAACCGGCGAGUUACGAUUUGAUGCAAGGUUAAGCAGUAAAUGUGGAGCCGUAGCGAAAGCGAGUCUGAAUAGGGCGUUUAGUAUUUGGUCGUAGACCCGAAACCAGGUGAUCUACCCUUGGUCAGGUUGAAGUUCAGGUAACACUGAAUGGAGGACCGAACCGACUUACGUUGAAAAGUGAGCGGAUGAACUGAGGGUAGCGGAGAAAUUCCAAUCGAACCUGGAGAUAGCUGGUUCUCUCCGAAAUAGCUUUAGGGCUAGCCUCAAGUGAUGAUUAUUGGAGGUAGAGCACUGUUUGGACGAGGGGCCCCUCUCGG